AAAGAGAAAACGCAGAUUUUCAAUACCUUCCAAGAAAAUCCUGAAUUAUGAGACUGUUAUAAUCUUUGGAUCUUGCAUUCUUUCUUGAAAAAAUUAAAAAUAUGUCCCAUUGUUCAUACAGUUUUACAAGACUGCUGAUAUAUUAUGUUUUGUUUUUACUUAAAUGAACAUAUUGAAAAAUAUGGGGGACAUUACAAGAUGGAAAUCGAGAUCAAAAUGACCCAAAGAACAAUCUUGACAUCAGUGGUCGAAUGGAAUAAAGGAACACAUGAUUGAAGUGAUGUAAAAGAGAUAUCAAUAGCCAGGGAGAAAUGGAGAAUUACUGUUAUUGUA